AGAACUAUCUGGGCCUCUUCCUCUACCCCUCCUUGUGUGAUCGCUCCUUUCAAAAGCAACAGCCAAAGCAGAUGCAAGGGAGAUGCAUUGGUGCUCAUAAAUUCAAGGAGCUGAAAUGGCAACAGCUGUGGCAAUUUCAGGAUUUCAGCAGAUGGGUCAAAAUCAAAGUUGAUGAUCAGUCAUAUGAUCUUCAGCAGCCCUGGAAGGGUGUGAGUUCUCGGCAUCCCAUGCAGGAGCUCUGAAUGUACAAGAGGUGCUGAGGAGGGAGCAUGCGCCGGUGCCAAACGCUGGAUGACCUCACUAUCCUCAUGGAAAAGGAGGUGAAUACCACUGCCUUCUUUCUGUGUCCAAGCAAGUUAUGACUGGAAUGGAAAGUAUAGCCACCCGGGGCUGUCAGUACCCCUACCUACUCAAUUGCAGACAUGUUGAUACAGAACAUGAUCAUCGAAUUCCAGUGAAGCCACAGUGAUGGGAGUCCAGCAAGAGUAAAAGCAAGUAGAAGGAAGAAGCCCAGAAAAACCAAAGCGCCUAAGGCCCAUGAAAGCUGUAAUGACUCCUUACCAUGAAGUUCUCUCUCCUGAUACCAUGUGGAGAAGAUCCUUACUUCCUCUUCACCUUCCACCAUGAUUGUGAGUUUCCUGAGGCCUUCCCAGCCAUGCGGAACCGUGUGCUCAGCCUCCUCCUGUGAUGUAUCUGGAUUUCAUCCUCCAUGGUGAAAGGCAAAAGGCUGUUUAUCUCUUCUCUGGUCUGUGUAUGAAAGCUACAUGAAAAUGAGCAUUGAAAGGGUUAAGUGCACUCUUCAUGCAGAAAGACAAAACUUGUGGAUUUUCUAUUCCAUUGGGUCCAAACAAGAAGAACGGUCUGUUGCUAUUAUUUUAGGAUUCAACUCAAUAGCUGAUAAAUUUGAUUUCUUUCACACUCGGCAAAGACUUGAAACAUUGUAGCCCCAGAAUGGGAAGUCUCUUCUCCGAACUUAUGAACAUGUAACUCUUCAGUUCUCCCUCAACUUUAUUAAGCAUAUUGAGUUUCAAAAGACAUUCCUACUCUCCUUCUUCAAUAUCUUCUCUUUUUAAACGUUACUUUAUUUUUUAAAUGUAUUAUGCAGUUUUUAAGACUUUCAAAAAGGGAUAAGGAAAACCAAACCAAUACCUACGUAUCUAUCAAGCAGCUCAAGAAAUACAACAUUAGGAGCAGUUAAAUCCACUAUUUAUGCUCACUGCCUUCUAGAUAGAGUCUGUUACUUCCCAGAGGUCAAUUCCUGAGAGCCUAGGGACCUGGGCAUUGUCUUUGCCAUCUUUGUGAGGCCCUGGAGAUUCCCUUUAUGUCUCUGGCUUCUAUGUUGUCGAAGUCUAGGUUGACCUCGUGAUUUUUGAGGCUGUGGGUUAGCCUUGCAAUGUCUGGAACUUGGCUAUGGGUUUUGAAUGCUUUUCCUUGGGCCUUGUCGUCAGAUGGAAGCGCACAUAGCUUCCCAUGGCCACCUCUUCCAGGAUGUUCAAUGAGAAGUCCCAAA
ensembl:lncRNA LINC02284 long intergenic non-protein coding RNA 2284